GUGCCCUAUACACCCUGUUCCAAAUUAUUAUGCACAUUAUAUUUAAGUGUCACAAAGAUUAACUAUUUUGUUUUUCAGUUUAACUCAUGGAUGGCAUUGUGUCUCAGGGCUCUUUUGAUCACUGAAAACAAUCUCGGACACCUGUGAUAAUUAGAUUGCCAGGUGAGCCCAGUUUAAGGAAAAACUACUAACGGACGGUGUUCCACAUUAUUAAGCAGAGCACCAUUUUCAUGCAAUAUGGGGAAGAAAAAGGAUCUCUCUGCUGCCAAAAAGCGUGACAUAGUUCAAUGCCUUGGACGGGA